UUCCAUCUUUAUUGAAAAAAUAUAUUCUUCUGCAAGGUAAUAUACAUUAUACAUGUUUAUAAAACUAUUUUUCUGAUGCUUAUGAUACCAACCUUCAUAAGUUAAUUUGACAUUUCUCGCUACUCUGUGGUAAAUUAGUCACAUGAAACAACCAAUUUACAUCUAAUAUAUGAUCAUAUAUGAAAACUCUUGGUAAUGCAAUGAUGUCAGAUAAUUUAAAGUCAUAAGCACACAUAGCAGACAAUUAACAUAACACACAAUCAUGAGUAAACGAAUAAUAUAAGAGUUUUACUUUUACCAAGCUGCAUAAUUCAAAUAGACAUUAUCAUCUGUCAAUACCAGGCAGUGCCUGUGGUAAGAAUUGUAUGAGUGAUCACAUUUAUAAUUUAUUGACAAAUAAUCAAUCUGCUUAUAAUUAACAAUCACAUUUAUAAUUUAUUGACAAAUAAUCAAUCUGCUUAUAAUUAACAUGACAAACAAACACCAGUUAAUGAGCAGAUUAACAACAUAAGACUCAUCAAUGAAUUAUAGGACUGCUUAAAUGUAUAUUUUAUUUGUAAAUUAUCAAUCUAAUUAUAAUACAAGAUCUGUAUCAACAUUUUACUGACAAGGAUCUGGCAAGUUUAUUUUAUUUUCUGUUUUCAUAAUUAUUAUAUAGUGAAACCUGACUAAACCGAACCCUGUGUAAACCGAAAACCUGUAUAAACCAAACAUGUUUGUAAGCACCGUCAUAUCAAAUUAUGUACGUUGUGAACCUGAUAAAACCAAACAUCGGCCCAAACCGAACAAAAUCUAAAGUACUAAAGAGGUUCGGUUUAAAGAGGUUUCACUGUAUUGGCCAAUGAGAAUUGUCCACCUUCCAAUGUAUGAUGAUUUUUAAAACAAAGGAUUAUAAAAGGAUUUUAAAACAAAAUGCAGAAACAGAGCUUUGCCAGAUUUGUAAGAAGGGUCAUGGACACAAGAUCUGAAUUUGAAUCAGAUUGACAAAUUUUAGAAGAUACA
rnacentral:lncRNA from 1 species